AGCUGACAAAAGCAAAUUGGUUUCUAUCAUCCUGUGGUAUAUAUACACCAACAGGCCUCUUUAAUAAUGCAAGUAAAAUCAAGUUCUUGUUAUUCUUUUCCCUUGAAACUUGAGGUAUCGUUUUCGAGUGGGAGAGGAUUCUUGUGUGCAGUUGGGACUUGGCAUUUGGUUGAAAAUUAAAUGGCCAGUGAAGAUGUCAAAGAGGUGCUGCUGGGGAAGGAGUAUUUUGAGGGCUGCCCUGGUUGUCAAGUAGACAAGCGUAAAGCGUUGCAGCGAGGUGUGCCAUAUAAGGAGCUCUCCAUUAUAUGGAUUGUGUUACUUGCUUCAGCUCUGCCGAUAUCAUCUCUUUUCCCAUUCCUUUAUUUUAUGGUAAGGGACUUCAAUAUCACAAAAGAAGAAGAGAAUAUAAGUUACUAUGCAGGUUACGUAGGGUCAGCAUACAUGCUCGGAAGGGUUUUCACAUCUGUCUUCUGGGGCUGGGUGGCUGACAGAUAUGGUCGGAAAGUUGUUAUUAUUUUUGGCACUUUCGUAGUAGUUGUAACAAACACUCUUUUUGGACUAAGUAUAAAUUUUUGGAUGGCAAUUGCUACAAGGUUUCUUCUUGGAAGCUUAAACGGUGUACUUGGACCAAUAAAGGCAUAUGCGUCAGAGUUGGUCCGGGAUGAAUACCAGGCUACAGCACUAUCAACUGUUAGUACAGCAUGGGGAACUGGAUUGAUAAUUGGCCCUGCUAUUGGAGGUUUCUUAGCCCAGCCUGCAGACAAGUUUCCAGCUAUAUUUUCUCAAGAAUCAAUAUUUGGGAGAUUCCCAUACUUCUUGCCCUGCCUUGCUAUUUCGCUUUUGGCACUAGUCAUUGGUAUUGCCUGCUUUUGGCUUCCGGAGACACUUCACAUGCCAGAGUUACACAAGGUAUCAUGUCCUGACUCUUUGGAAAAUUUAGAAUGUGCGCAUGGAUCUGAGGAAAAGGAGGGUACGGGCCGAAAAAGAAAAACAGAUUCUAGUGGAAGCCUAUUAAUGAACUGGCCGUUGAUGUCAUCAAUCAUGGUCUAUUGUGUUUUCUCACUACAUGAUAUGGCUUACACAGAGAUAUUCUCAUUAUGGGCAGUGAGCCCUAGGAAGUUAGGGGGUUUGAAUUAUUCAACUGAUGGUGUUGGUGAAAUUUUGUCAUUUACAGGGUUUGGACUUUUAGUCUUUCAGCUUUUCAUAUUUCCACCACUGGAGAGGAGAUUCGGUUUCCUUACGCUAGCUCGUGUUUCAGGAUUCGCCUGCAUUCCUCUUUUGACUAGUUAUUCAUAUAUAGCCUUGCUAUCAGGGGUCACUCUUGCAUUGUUGAUAACAUGUGCCUCUGUGCUGAAGAAUGUACUAUCUCUGUGCAUCGUUACCGGCAUGUUCAUACUGCAAAACAGGGCUGUGGAUCAACACCAAAGAGGUGCUGCUAAUGGCAUUGCCAUGACUGCUAUGUCAUUUUUCAAAGCAAUUGGUCCAGCAGGUGGAGGGGCACUUCUUUCAUGGGCUCAAGUCCGCCAAGAUGCCGCCUUUCUGCCUGGUACUCAGCUUGUUUUCUUUAUCUUGAAUGUCAUCGAAGCAAUCGGAAUUGCAAUGUUGUUCAAGCCAUUUUUAGCUCUAAGAGAACCUUGAAAUUUAACCACUCAAGGAUGUAACACUUUCUCAGUUAUACCAACUCAGAAGUUAGAACCCUUAUAAGGUCAUCGACAAUUAGACUACAGAAGUCAGAAGCUGUAUAUGGUUGUCGACAAUUAGACUACAGAAGUCAGAAGCUGUAUAUGGUUGUCGAGAUACACCUGAAGUGCUUCAUCUAGUUUCAUCAGAUAAUUAUGUGUUCAAGUCCCAGACUGUUGCAGAUACAUUUUAAUCUAAACUCACUCUGACUUCAACUCUAUUAUCAGUUUAUUUCCGUGGCUCAUAAUUAUCUAUGAUCUCCACAAUGUUGGUUCUAUGGUCCAAGUUUUGCAGAGCUGAGAACGAGCUUGAUUUGCAGGACUGAAUCCCAGAACCUUUACUUUGAGAAAACAUAAAAUGAUUUCACAAGAUGAGACAGAGAUUCAACAUCCUCAACUCUUCUUUUCUAGUUACUAUAUUUAGAUAAAACUGCAUGCACCUUAGUGUUAUUCAUAUUAAAGCAAGGAAAUGCUAUCUACCGUAACACAAAUUGGUUACUUCCUCGGUCCUUUUCUAGUACCUUUCUAAAGUAUAGUUUUAAAUCUAAUUUUUAAAAUUUUGUCUC